GCGAAAGCAAUAGUAUUAAUCAGUAUCAUUAAACAUUUUUAUAGGCAUGAACAAACUUAAAAGUAAUUAAGACACACAGACAACAAAGGGACAUAACACAGCCUGUACUUUGUUUAUGUAAGGUCGAAAGGAGGCAGACAGGAAAUGCGCCACAGGCAAGAAGGCAUAUGAAAUCCUUAAGGCCCCAGCAAUGCCAGAGUCGCUGACAGAUACUAUUCCAAUCCUCACCUGCCCAAGGAAAUAGAUACCUCCUCCAACUAUGAAGGCAGAGAUAGCCGUGCCGAUCACAGCAAAGAGCGUAAUGGAGCCGAUGUUCUGGAAGAAGUUACCCUGAACAUACAUGGACACACAGCUUAAGUAUUCAUGGAUUUAGUAGCCUGACAUCACAUAGCGUUACAUAACAUAUAACCAGCAUUAAAAUGAAAGCAGGGCACAGUGCAGGUGCAAAGAAAAUCACCAUUGCAUUUUCAAUCUUGUCUGAGGUAUCAGCUUAUUGUUUCAGAAGAAACAAAAAGACAUGAGAUAAAAUCAACUUUAUUGAUCCUACAGUGGGAAAAUUCACCUGUCAUGAUGAUCAUUAAAAAAAACAAAAGUUUAUAAGCUGUUUCUUUGCAUUUGUUAAUUAAUUUCAUGUCAUAGCCAUCCUGAGGCAUAAGCAAACUUGAGGCCUAGUUAGGUCUCCUAGUUAAUUUACUGUUAACUAAGGACUAGGUUAAAUAACUGUAUUAUGCUGCAAUUUUAUAGAUAUUUCAAAACACAUUAUUAUUUUUACUUUGGUGGCUUUAUUUGUGGCUAUGAUACUUAUUCUACACAUCUGGAUAAUUUUCAUUUUUAAACAGGUAGCCAAAUCAUCUGGCUGUUAUGUUUAAUGCAUAUGAAGGUUUAUUUUAAGAACAUCAAAUUCAUUGUGUAAACUGUCUUGUGCCAUGUAAACUCAGCUUCAUGCACACGUUCUGCCGUACCUUAUGUAAAGAGUAUCCAGAUUCAAAGAUGAUGGGUGGCAGGAGCAAAAGGAAGAACAUGUUGGGUCGGAACAUUUCCUCUUCCUUUUAAAAGAAGAAGGACAGAGAAACACUGCUUACAAUCCACAGCACAAAAAAGUCAAGUCUAAAGGGCUGUUCGGUGAUGAUCAGUUGACUUAGUACUAGCCAAAGUUACAUUUUCCACGUCCACGAGUGUGCAAGAGUCCACUAGGGUUUUGUCAGUAUGUACAUGUACUGUUAUGUGAGCGUCUGCGUACCCACGGACUUGUCUGUGCACCCUCUAUGCUAUGACAAACUACGGAAUAUAUCUGUACAUUUGUGAAAUGCAUCCUCAAAGUGGAUUCCAGAAAGUAAUAUAUAAUAAAAUGGUGUGCGUGUCUGAC